AAAUUGAAGAGUUUGAUCAUGGCUCAGAUUGAACGCUGGCGGCAGGCCUAACACAUGCAAGUCGAACGGUAACAGGAAGCAGCUUGCUGCUUCGCUGACAAGUGGCGGACGGGUGAGUAAUGUCUGGGAAACUGCCUGAUGGAGGGGGAUAACUACUGGAAACGGUGGCUAAUACCGCAUAACGUCGCAAGACCAAAGAGGGGGACCUUCGGGCCUCUUGCCAUCAGAUGUGCCCAGAUGGGAUUAGCUUGUUGGUGAGGUAACGGCUCACCAAGGCGACGAUCCCUAGCUGGUCUGAGAGGAUGACCAGCCACACUGGAACUGAGACACGGUCCAGACUCCUACGGGAGGCAGCAGUGGGGAAUAUUGCACAAUGGGCGCAAGCCUGAUGCAGCCAUGCCGCGUGUAUGAAGAAGGCCUUCGGGUUGUAAAGUACUU
rnacentral:rRNA from 1 species